rnacentral:rRNA from 1 species
CGGGCGAGGCGCCGGUCUAAGUCCCUUGGAACGGGGCGUCAGAGAGGGUGAGAAUCCCGUACGCGACCGGUGACCGAGCCUUUGUGAAACCCCUUCGACGAGUCGAGUUGUUUGGGAAUGCAGCUCCAAACGGGUGGUAAAUUUCAUCUAAAGCUAAAUACCGGCCAGAGACCGAUAGCGCACAAGUAGAGUGAUCGAAAGAUGAAAAGCACUUUGGAAAGAGAGUCAAAAAGUACGUGAAAUUGUUGAAAGGGAAGCGCUUGCAACCAGACCUGCCCGCGGGCGAUCAGCCGUCCUUUUGGGCGGUGCACUCGCCCGCGAUCAGGCCAGCAUCGGUUCGGGCGGUCGGACAAAGGCCUCGGGAACGUGGCUCCCCUCGGGGAGCGUUAUAGCCCUUGGUGCAAUGCGGCCUGCCCGGACCGAGGACCGCGCUUCGGCUAGGAUGCUGGCGUAAUGGUCGUAAGCGGCCCGUCUUGAAACACGGACCAAGGAGUCGACCAACUAUGCGAGUGUUUGGGUGUCAAACCCACACGCGCAAUGAAAGUGAACGGAGGUGGGAACCCCUUCGCGGGGCGCACCAUCGACCGAUCCAGAUGUCUUCGGAUGGAUUUGAGUACGAGCAUAGCUGGUCGGACCCGAAAGAUGAUGAACUAUGCCUGAAUAGGGUGAAGCCAGAGGAAACUCUGGUGGAGGCUCGCAGCGGUUCUGACGUGCAAAUCGAUCGUCAAAUUUGGGCAUAGGGGCGAAAGACUAAUCGAAUCAUC